rnacentral:rRNA from 1 species
CCUACGGGCGGCAGCAGUGGGGAAUAUUGGACAAUGGGGGCAACCCUGAUCCAGCCAUGCCGCGUGUGUGAAGAAGGCCCUCGGGUUGUAAAGCACUUUCAGUGAGGAAGAACGCCUGGUGGUUAAUACCCAUCAGGAAAGACAUCACUCACAGAAGAAGCACCGGCUAACUCCGUGCCAGCAGCCGCGGUAAUACGGAGGGUGCGAGCGUUAAUCGGAAUUACUGGGCGUAAAGCGCGCGUAGGUGGCUUGAUAAGCCGGUUGUGAAAGCCCCGGGCUCAACCUGGGAACGGCAUCCGGAACUGUCAAGCUAGAGUGCAGGAGAGGAAGGUAGAAUUCCCGGUGUAGGGGUGGAAUGCGUAGAGAUCGGGAGGAAUACCAGUGGCGAAGGCGGCCUUCUGGACUGACCCUGACACUGAGGUGCGAAAGCGUGGGUAGCCAACCGGAUUAGAUACCCGGGUAGUC